GACGAACGCUGGCGGCGUGCUUAACACAUGCAAGUCGAACGGUGAAGGGACUGGUUUUGCUGGUCCUGGAUGAGUGGCGAACGGGUGAGUAACACGUGAGUAACCUGCCCCCUUCUUCUGGAUAACCGCAUGAAAGUGUGGCUAAUACGGGAUAUUCUGGGUCUGUCGCAUGGUGGGCCUGGGAAGGAUUGCGCCUUUUUUGGUGUUUUUGGUGGGGGAUGGGCUCGCGGCCUAUCAGCUUGUUGGUGGGGUGAUGGCCUACCAAGGCGGUGACGGGUAGCCCGCCUGAGAGGGUGGACGGGCACACUGGGACUGAGACACGGCCCAGACGCCGACGGGAGGCAGCAGUGGGGACUAGUGCACAAUGGGCGCAAGCCUGAUGCAGCGACGCCGCGUGAGGGAUGGAGGCCUGCGGGUUGUGAACCUCUUUUGCCAGUGAAGCAGGCCUGCCUCUUUUUGUGGGUGGGUUGACGGUAGCUGGAUAAGAAGCGCCGGCUAACUACGUG
rnacentral:rRNA from 1 species